rnacentral:rRNA from 1 species
CCUACGGGAGGCUGCAGUCGAGAAUCAUUCACAAUGGGGGAAACCCUGAUGGUGCGACGCCGCGUGGGGGAAUGAAGUUCUUCGGAUUGUAAACCCCUGUCAUGUGGGAGCAAAUUAAAAAGAUAGUACCACAAGAGGAAGAGACGGCUAACUCUGUGCCAGCAGCCGCGGUAAUACAGAGGUCUCAAGCGUUGUUCGGAAUCACUGGGCGUAAAGCGUGCGUAGGCUGUUUCGUAAGUCGUGUGUGAAAGGCGCGGGCUCAACCCGCGGACGGCACAUGAUACUGCGAGACUAGAGUAAGGGAGGGGUAACCGGAAUUCUCGGUGUAGCAGUGAAAUGCGUAGAUAUCGAGAGGAACACUCGUGGCGAAGGCGGGUUCCUGGACAUUAACUGACGCUGAGGCACGAAGGCCAGGGGAGCGAAAGGGAUUAGAUACCCGUGUAGUC